GGCAAGGGAGGUUGGGUGUUUGCUGAGAGUGUCUUGGGGUAGAGAUUCAGACAGGAGAAGGUGGUUUCUCAGAUUAGCAAAGUGUUUGCAGCUUUAAUUUAGGGGUCUGAGAUUGAAAAGUUAUCCUCACUGGAUCGUGUGGUGGGACUUUAGUUUGUAGAUCAAUUGCUAACUGAAAACAGUUUGGAACUAAGUUGUUUGCUGGGUUCAUUAGUGAGUCUUUCCCUCAUAGGUUUUUCCAACUGGAAUGUGUUCCUCCACCAUUGUGACUUCUUCAGGAUGUAGUGACAUUCCCUGUCUGCCUUCUAACUUUGCUACUGUUUCUGAGGACUCACUUUCUGAGAAGCAGAACAGUAAUCAAGAAAUUCAUAUGGUUUGAAUGCCAAUUUGUAGAGGAUUGAGCAUCAGAAGGCAGACUCUGGAUUUUUUUUUCCUCAAUUACAAUGCGAUUCAUCUCAUUCCUACCAGUGCCUGAAAGUAUCUCUCUCUGCAUCUCUGGGAAUCUGAUCAGGGCUUCUGCUGGACCCUUCUGUCUGAGGCAAAGGGCAGGGACUCAAUCCCAGGAGGUGGCUGCUGUGCCUUUAUAGAGAGAAAGAGAUGCAAAUUAUACCCCUCAGCCCUGAUUAAAGCCUGCACUGGCCCCUGUCUCUGCAGCUCUGGGAGAGGAGCUCCAGAUCCUUUCUGUGCUGUUCCCUUCCAGCCCCCAGAACUGUCCUCAUAUCCCUCACCAUGCAGUCUGCCUUCAGUCUGCUUUCUAUCCUGGCCCUGCUCCAAGGUGUGCAGGGUGAUGUUCAGCUGGUGGAGUCCGGGGGUGACUUGAAACAGCCUGGCGGGUCUCUGAGCCUCUCCUGUAAAGCCUCCGGAUUGACCAGCAGCUACUACUACAUGCACUGGGUCCGCCAGCCUCCAGGGAAGGGGCUGGAGUGGGUCGCUCAGGUUGAUAAUGGUGGUAGUAGCACUAACUAUGCAGAUUCUGUGAAAGGCCGAUUCACCAUCUCCUGGGAUAAGGCCAGCAGCCUCCUGAGUUUGCAGAUGAACAGCCUGAAAACCGAGGACACGGCCCUGUAUUAUUGUGCUGCAGAAUUACUGUACUGCAGACAUAAUGAGAGAAACCACAUUCUGUGCUUGUCAGAAACCCUGGGAGGAUUUCUGGGCUGCAGCUGGCUGGGGGAACACAGCAGCAGAGACCACAGAUGAUAGCCCUGGACUCUAAUCGUUAAUUCCAUUAUUAAUGUUGUUCACAAUUCCAAAACAAGCCCUAACACAAAAUCCCACUGGUAUGUAAAAUUAAAUGGGAACCACAGCCUGAUUUUUUUCUACAUCUAAUGAAUAGCUAAGAAAAUCCCCUCAAUGCAGCCAGACAAGUGGCCAUGCGAUUCAGAUGAAAUAUAAACAUAAUGCAAUCAAUCCUGAAAUAUAUUUCAAAAUUCACAGAUUACUACACAAUGUUUGUAAUUUUGUCAUUAAAUAUGAUACCUUUUAGAAAUGUGAUCCCACUAUACUCAGGCAGCAAACCAAUACAGACUUCCA